rnacentral:rRNA from 1 species
GACGAACCGUGCGAACGUUGUUCGGAAUCACUGGGCUUAAAGGGCGCGUAGGCGGGCUCGCAAGUCAGGGGUGAAAUCCCACGGCUCAACCGUGGAAGUGCCUUUGAUACUGCGGGCCUGGAGGGAGGUAGGGGCGUGCGGAACUUCCGGUGGAGCGGUGAAAUGUGUUGAUAUUGGAAGGAACACCGGAGGCGAAAGCGGUGUACUGGGGCUGGUCUGACGCUGAGGCACGAAAGCCAGGGGAGCGAACGGG